rnacentral:snoRNA from 1 species
UCUUGUGAUGAUUUCCGAUAGGGACAACUUAUGCUAUGCAUAUGCUGUGAACCGGGAAAGAGUGUUUUAGUAGAUGCUUCUCAUUCUGAUU